rnacentral:lncRNA from 1 species
GGAAUCAAACUUGAUGAUUUAUUAAUCAAGUUUUGACAACAAUACUAUUGAAAAUGGUGAAAUGCUUAAUGUCAGUUCUAAAUGAAACUUGUCUUGUUAAGAUGAUAGAUUAUAUUAUCUAAUCAUACUUGCUGUCAUGAGUAGAAACUGAUUCAGAUUAAUGCAUACUGCCUUGUUGCUGCCUUGUAUUGUUGCAUUUAGAUUAAAAGUCUAAGUAGCAUAUUAAGGAGUGAUUAAAAUUGCCUAAUACUUUGACUUGAAUGUCAAGCUUGAGGGGGAGUGUUAACUUGAAGAGAAGAAGUGGAGAAGCAAAGGUGAUGAGUUGAGUUGGUGCUUGUGCAAAGAUAGGGCAAGUCCUUCAGGGAUUGUCUACUAAGGCUUCAGGAGGGUCUGAGGGUGUCCAGAAGUGAUCUGAUGGUUGUGCAAAGAUAGGGCCAAGUCAGGAGAGGCUUAGGAGUAUCUUUGGGAGCAGGUGGUCGAGUGUGCAAACUUAGGGCA